GUUCCCCAGGAACCCCACCCCAUUCAAAAAUACGAUUCAAGGAUCCAUUUCUCUCAAGUCUCAACUCACGCAGUCAACACUCGCCGAUUCCCUCACUGUCAUCGCCCCUCAAGCUCGUCGUCCCUCACCCAUCGAGCUCGGAUAGAAUCCUUACCCCUUAAGCUCGCCACUCGUCCUUAGGAUCUCUAGCUUCCUGCUUCUUUUCAGCUCAGAUUUCUUUAACUGGAACAGGGUAAAGCUAAGAUACUGUGAUGGGGCAUCUUUCAGUGGGGACAGUAAGAAUGAGGUUGGUCAAAGUGUAUGCUCUUCUCAAUUAUUAUGUGGACAAUUGAUUUGCAUCAAUUACAAGUUUUAAAAUAAAUAAUGGUUUAUUUUGAUCAUGCACUUUCUUGCUUAAUCGCUAACUUAUUUGAGUAACAUAUCAUGUUUAUUUUGAUGUUUGAUACGGGAUACGGCCCUUGUACUUAAGGUUGGUUUUUGCCUUUC